rnacentral:lncRNA from 1 species
CUGAGAUAGAUACUCCUCAACGCCGUGAAAGGACUAGCCCUAAAAUGUGUUCUGCGUCCACGAUGCUAAAACUAGUAUUCGUUUUGGUCGUGGCUUUAGUCAGUGUCAAGGUCAGUGCGGACCCCUCUAUAGUGCUCUGUAUGGACCUGUGCGAGGACUUUCACGCCCUUCGCCGUGAGUGUCAGAGGGAGAAAAACUGCUUCUACACCGCCAGCUAUCCCCACGUCUAUCGGAGAAGCUGUCUGGAUGAAUGUUGGGACCUGACAUCACCUUGUGAGCUGUCAUGCAAACGACACCUCGGUAGGAUACGUCCCAUCUGCUCCAGCAAGUGUCACGACUACAGCUGUCUACAGGACUGCCUCAGGAAAGAGUUCUCUCCGUUGAAACCCCAGUUGCCGGAAAUGUUCUAAUUACACUUGACAUGGCUGUUUACAUUGCCUCGAUGUUCCUACAACACUUCCCGUGACCCAAGCAAUCGAUGUAUGGCUAUACAUGUAUUGCAGUGCGCACUCUAAGUAGGAAGAACUAAAAGGUGUUAUGUUCCUUUAGAACAUGUUGCUUUGAUGAAAGGAAGGCAAAUAGUAUGUGUUAGAAUCUCGUUCCGGAUCCUCAGAAAAUUCAAAGAAGUUGGGACGAUGAACUACCCAGUCCCAGAACCCUCGUGAACUUCGAAAAAGGGACUCUUACUCUUUAUUAAAUUAUACUCCACAGAACUAGUUCGUUCAUAGGGAUUGCAAUCUCUUUCUCAUUGUGUCAGCUGAACAUUUUAGAAGAGGAGAAUAAGUAUUUUGUAUAAACUCGGCGAAAACCGUGAACGUUAGGCCAGAAAAGCGUUAUUGGUUUUGUUUACCUCUAACUUUAACAGAUGAGUUGUAUGUUGACAAUUAACGAAGAGGAUCGAAACGUAAGAGGCGGCAAUAUUUAAGUCGAAAAAGGGGGAACGUCAAAUUUCAGGAAACAAGUCAUUGCCGUCAAUUUGAUAGAAAUUCUGAGUAAAAGAUGAUCCUUACUUACUAUCAAUAAGAAAAUAUAACUGGUGGCGUCUUAUUAUUUAUGCCCCGUGUUUCGUUUGGGUUUUCCCCAACAGAGUUUAAUUGAAAAGAGGGGGGUGGGGGGGGGAUUUAAUUCCUUGUGUUUGUAAAAUGGAAAUCGUAACGGUGGCGUUUAUAAUGGAAUGAGUAAAUCAGUUGACCAAUAGCAACAAACACUGAACUGGUUACGUUCAUUAGCAAUUCCUGAAUAAUAUAAAAUGGAGAUGUGAGGAAUUAGGAGGCCUCCAAUUCAGAAAGCCAGUUUUUUGUUUCUUACUUAAAAGCUCAAUAUAAUUUUAUUCUGCUCAGUCAAUCUUAAAUAAAUGUGUUUUCAAAGUGCCAUUUUCUGUAACGCUUUGUUCAUUGUGUUCAGCUUCGACAUUGGUUCUCGGUAGUAAUAUGCACCUUGGACUCAAGUCAGUUGUUCAAGAACGCUUCACAAUUGCCUUGUUUUACAGUUAUUAAACCUUCCAUUUUCUGACCUCUGAAAAUUUGGUUUCAUCUAAUUCUAAACGACUCAAAGAAAUCGGAUUCAUAGCAUAUGACAAUGUGACGGUGACAUUUCCACUUUUAUAUUAUUUUUUAAAUUGCAUUUUUUAAAGUUUGCAUGGCUUUUAAUAACAAUGUAUGUCGCUUUGAAAUGAUAUUCCGUUGAACUUUUCCUUAUCCCUGACAUGUUCAUUCUUACUGUGAAAUCAAGCUCUGAAAGUUGCUCUGUACGUAGUUGGUAUCCUUUUAUUUGUUGUGAAUACAAACAAACACACACAUACGCACACACACACGCACACACACACACACACACACACACACACACACACACAUAUGUACACACGAUAGCUGUACCAAAAGACCAGUCUACCACAAAAAGUUAUACGGUUGUCAGAAAAUCUGCACCAUAAUUGCGCUGAAGGUGAAAUGACCAUGCUCAUUACAUAAUACACUAUGAUUUUGAUUUUAUUUUCAACGCUAACCAGAGAGUGGAUUGAGUGAAAAGGGAAAUGCCUUCACUGGGAAAUUCUGUAAUACAACCGGGUCCAUAAUGGCAGCUGAAGCUUCGUUUUUUUAACUUUAGGAUUUACUGACGGUCCAGAAAGGGUUAGAAAAAAAGUCAAUAGCCUGUUGAGUAGACACAUUUGCCAGCUAUUGUUCGCUUGAUAACGACCAUAAAAAUUCUACCUUGAGGCACACUCGUUUUUGUUCGCACUCUCAGUGCCCGCACAGAAGAGAAUGUGGUGCAAGUUUCACCAAAACAUGAUUCAGGACCAGAAGCAUACCUCAUUCAGACACACCAGUACAUACUGUCAACGCCAAACACCCAGGAGAGACUGAGAAUGUGCAGGUGAAUUUUAAAUAAGAACGGGGAAGAUUAUUGCAUCCUUUAUUAAGAACGUUUAGUUCAGUAAUGAAACUAUUUUUUUCUUAAUGGGCAUGUUACUUUUUAAGCUGCAUGAUUUUGGGUUCAUCAAGGCGUAAUAAAGUUGUGCCCGAAUGGUCUCCAUACACUGAAAACCACGACAUAAUGUCAAUGAGUCAUUAAUUGCUCUAUCUGGAUUUAUUGAUGAGGGUGAGGUCACUUGCACUGCUGGUAAAUGCCUAAAAUUGCUUUCCAAAUUCUAGAAAUUGUUGGACGCUUCUGUGACACUGACAUACAAUAUCAAUGGUUCUGGUAGGAUGGUGGCACGCGUCAUACACCGAUGGGGGUUCUUCGGUGGGUUGAAGAUCGUUUUGUUGAGAAAUCAGCAGUCGCAGCUCGGCUCACAUUUGGGUACCUCCACAGCCUAGACCUCAGCCAGCUAGAUUUUUCGUCUAUAAGGAUAACCGACGGACAAAGUUUACUUUUAGAAUCUCCGCGGUCUUAGGGUUAUUGCGUCAAACCAUGCCUAACGAAUUCAUGUCGACCAAAGACAAAGAGUGAUCAAAGACUUUGUCUGUCUCGUAGAAGAAUGCUUUUCAUGUCUCAAACAAUGCACUGAAUACGCGAUUUACGACGCACCAGCUUAAAAUUGCAUGACGUUACAUGCUUCAAAUGUUGAUUUUCUUCGAUGCACCUGAAUCUGCUAUAUGUGUGCAAAUUUAUCUGAUUGUGUAUUCAUGGAGUUUUUUAUUGUCGAUCGUUUGGCAGACAUUUUGAUUGUUUUUGGAACAUACAGACAUACAUUACAUGCACUUGUUAGUGAAAACACACUCAGACACACACAUACACACACACAAUCACACACACACAUUGACACACACACACACACACACAUGCACGCACAUACACAUAUAUACACACACGUGCACGCACGCACACACAUUUUAUAUACGUAAAAUAUAAUAUAUACAUGCAUGUACAACCGCUAAUUUCUUUUUAUGUGCUAAUGAUGCUGUUUUCAAUAUCCUGGAUUACACACUCAUUUUUAUACUUAUUAUUUUUAUAGAAUUUUUUUUUACUGAUUAAUUAAACUGAUAGAUGAGUUUAUUGAUUGAGGAAUGAAUUUAUGGAUAAAUUAGUGGAUGGGCGGCUGGCUGGCUGGAUGGAUGGAUGGAUGAAUGGAUGGAUGGAUGGAUGGAUUGAUGGAUGGAUGGAUGGAUGGAUGGAUGGAUGGAUGGAUGGAUGGAUGGAUGGAUGGACGGAUGGAUGGAUGGAUGGAUGGAUGGAACAAGGGUCCCCAUUGAGUAUAGAGUUGCCCUCUUCUGUGUCAGACAGAAAGAUUAGUUCCAAUAAUUCUGGGCAAGCCAAAGGAUCUUAACCCUAUCAGGGAUUUGAAUAAGAAUUCACAUAGCAAAAAAACGAGUGUCUUAUUGGGCAAAUUGCCCACCCACCUGUUUUCAAAAACCUAUGCAGGGUUUUAUUUUAUACCCAAAAAUGUAAAAUAUUUUUUAUGCUUCUUUUUAAAAAAAACAACUGAAUAAACGUCAAACUGAAAACAGAAA